GACGAACGCUGGCGGCGUGCUUAACACAUGCAAGUCGAACGGAAAGGCCCUGCUUUUGUGGGGUGCUCGAGUGGCGAACGGGUGAGUAACACGUGAGUAACCUGCCCUUGACUUUGGGAUAACUUCAGGAAACUGGGGCUAAUACCGGAUAGGAGCUCCUGCUGCAUGGUGGGGGUUGGAAAGUUUCGGCGGUUGGGGAUGGACUCGCGGCUUAUCAGCUUGUUGGUGGGGUAGUGUCUUACCAAGGCUUUGACGGGUAGCCGGCCUGAGAGGGUGACCGGCCACAUUGGGACUGAGAUACGGCCCAGACUCCUACGGGAGGCAGCAGUGGGGAAUAUUGCACAAUGGGCGGAAGCCUGAUGCAGCAACGCCGCGUGCGGGAUGACGGCCUUCGGGUUGUAAACCGCUUUCGCCUGUGACGAAGCGUGAGUGACGGUAAUGGGUAAAGAAGCACCGGCUAACUACGUG
rnacentral:rRNA from 1 species